rnacentral:rRNA from 1 species
GAUGAACGCUGGCGGCGUGCCUAAUACAUGCAAGUCGAGCGAACAGACGAGGAGCUUGCUCCUUCGACGUUAGCGGCGGACGGGUGAGUAACACGUAGGUAACCUACCUAUAAGACUGGGAUAACUUCGGGAAACCGGAGCUAAUACCGGAUAAUAUUUCGAACCGCAUGGUUCGAUAGUGAAAGAUGGCUUUGCUAUCACUUAUAGAUGGACCUGCGCCGUAUUAGCUAGUUGGUAAGGUAACGGCUUACCAAGGCAACGAUACGUAGCCGACCUGAGAGAGUGAUCGGCCACACUGGAACUGAGACACGGUCCAGACUCCUACGGGAGGCAGCAGUAGGGAAUCUUCCGCAAUGGGCGAAAGCCUGACGGAGCAACGCCGCGUGAGUGAUGAAGGUCUUCGGAUCGUAAAACUCUGUUAUUAGGGAAGAACAAACGUGUAAGUAACUGUGCACGUCUUGACGGUACCUAAUCAGAAAGCCACGGCUAACUACGUG